AGGCAGCAGAAGGCGUUGGGUGGGGGGACGCCGGUGGCAAACGCGCGUGGGGGCUGCACUUCGCAAAGUGCCGAGUACCCGCGGCGGGCUCUUGGGCGUCGCUGCCCCGAAGGCGGCCGAAGGCGCAGGGGUCGGGGGCUCGCGCUGAGGAGAGUAGGGUCCCUGGGUGUUUGGCCGCCUGCUGCGCGGGCUUGGCGAAGGACGGUGAGAGGCCGGCGCGCUGCCCGGGGGAUCCGGCGGGGUCCCGGAACUUUUGGAGCAUCACCAGCAUCCCAUCCCUGGACAGUCACGCCUUCAGCUUCGGACACCCACGACGGACGGAGGACCCCACAGGUAGUUGGGGGCUGACAGUUUGCUCCGCAGGGCUGUUGACCUGAACCGGCCACACGCUACUUCACAAGGAUUCGAAAAAAAUGGAAGCAGUGUUCUAGAAGUGGUUGUCUCCCUUAACCUCGAGCUUUCGUUUCUACAGACGCUCUUAUUUUAACUUUCUUUCCACCGUCAGCCCGGCUUCCUCCACCCUGUUGCUUGCGGUGUUUUAAGGUAGAUCCCAGGGUAUGUAAUUUCCGAGAUUCUUUUGGUUGCGAGGGACAGAGAGUCAGCUGAAACUGGCUCUUACAAUGAGGGCGUGGUUGGCUCACAUGACGGAAGUCAAACCAGUCUUCCUUCUUCAGCGCCUUUUUCAGGCCAGCCAGCGGCAGCACACGCUUCGUCCCUCCAGCCCUGGGACUGAGGUCCACUGGCCUGAAUGGGGUCAGGGGCCAGCGUGGAGCUGGGUGGGACCAGGGAAGAGCUGCUGCUUAACCAGAGGGAGGUGGAGGCUGGAAACGUGGGCGUCGUCACUGUGGGGGAGUCAGCGGUCUCAGGGCCGGGCUGUCCGCUGCCUCAGCCGGCACACAGCAGAGAGGGGAGGGGAGCCCCCGCCCCCGCAAGAUCCUGCCCGUGCCUGCGCCUCCUGCCCAGUGGGAUGCUCACGUUUGGUAGCCGCUGAGGCAGGAGACACCUCACAGCCCAGACCGCCAUCCAGGUGGGCUGAUCGCUCUGCGGCCUCAUCUCGGCCUGUGCCCUCCAGCUGGCAGCUGGGCCGGAGGGGAGCAGCUGGGGGGAAGCCAGCGGUCAGAAGAGCCUUCGCAGGGCACCUAUGGCAGGUGAAAAUGAGCUCAUGGAGCCAAGUAGCCUGGAAAAACGCACGGCGCUGAUGGCAGGUACAGAGCGGGAUUGGCGAAGAGACCGCCUGGGCCUGGACACCUGCAGCGAGGAAGUCCCAGCCCUGCCCCGUGGCCCCCCUCAGCCGCCCGCCCGCCCAGAUGCUCAGCCCUUCAGCUUCCAGGAUGCGGUCUGAACCGUGGGCCGGCCACCGGCUCCUCUGAGGCCUUUCCUACUUAGGUGGGGGCCCCUUCGGAUGGCAGCAGCGUUUGGGCAGGGCCGACUCCCACGAGCGAGGACCUAGGACCUGAGCAGCACCCAGGGCCAGGUGGACCGGAUGCCGAGGUGGCCCUGGCGCCCGCUCCCGGGGUCAGGAGGCCCACCUGUCCCGGCACCAUUACCAACACCAGCGCCUUCCUCCUCCCCUGGGCUCCGAGAGUCCGCCCGGGGCCUCGGGAUCGAGUGGUCUUCCUGGAGGCUGGCCGUCAGUUCAGCUGGGAAACUGUCGCCUGGACUUGGGUUGGGCCCGCCCCCUCCAAGACCAGCGAGAGAAGCCACGGUCCCCUUGAGCAGUGGCCCUUCCCCGCUCCUCUGCAGGGACGAGCAGGAGGACCAGCACCGGCCAGGACCCUCAGUCCUCAGCACCCCAGGCCCGCUGCCCUCGCCCAGACCAGGGCAUUCUUCCUGCAUUACUUGGGUGGCGGGGUGCAGCUGUCAGGCGUCACAGAAAAAGCAGAGGCCUGGAGUCACCUCUGACUGCCCGUCCUCACCUCCAGGGACGGAGCGACCAGGGCGGCGUGUAGCCGUGGUGCUCCCAGCGCCCCAGCUCUGAGGCCGAGGCCCCUCUGCCCCGCGCACCGGCGCCGGGGCCUGUCGCGUGCGGGGUCGGAGCCGAGCAUCUGACCGCGCGGUGCUGCUGACGCUGACCCCCCGCCUGGGGGCCAGAGGAAAAGGCUGGAAGCACAGAGAAUCGAGCAUCUCUUCAUCAGCUUAUUUUUAGUCGCGUUAUUGGCGCCAGGGGCCCUGGAAGUCACCGGAAACGUGUGUCGGGAGCAGAGAGGAGGGAGCCCGUUGUCUGGAAGCUGCACCUGGAGGACCCUCGGAACCCAAGCCUGGGUGUGUCCUUGCGGGUCCUUCCCGGGGGGCGGGAGGCGGGCGGCCCCUCCGUGCGGUGCCUGCUGGUGCCAGGCGCCCCCGACGCCUGCCGCGCGUGCAGAUGGCUCCCCUGCCCAGGCUGCCGGCUUCUAAUUUCGGCUGCUGGAGGCUCCACGCUCUCUUUUUUUAUUCCGUGUUUAUUUAAAGCCGGAUUUUAAAAUCUUGUCUUCAGGCCUGGAAUCUUGACUUUGUCUUCUUGCUGCAGAUCCUAAAGCCCCACCUAGGAUCCCCUGGUCUCCAAAGGGGGAGCUCUGAAGCCAACUCGCGUGGGUUUGUGGGUCACCUUGCCAAUGGGACAGAGCCCUGCCUGGCACGGUGACAUUUGGAUGCCGGGCAGAGGUUUUCAGUCAGAGCAGUGUCGUGUAGUGACCACACGGUCAGAACCCGGAGAGCCCCUGUGUGUUCUCGGCUCCCAAAGGCUGAGAGGUGGCACACGGCUCUCGGAGGGAGAGGAGAGCAUCCCCCGCCCAGCAUGCCAGGUGUCCACAGGAGAGGGGGGGCCCAGAGCCACCCACCUGCUGUCCCCCGUCUGGGUCCAGACAUGUGCCCAGGGCCGGGGAAGAGGGCGGACAGACAGUUCUCACCUGGCAAGUGGGGUUCCUCUCCCGCCUCUCUGCUUCCUGACCCUCAGGGCUUCCUGUUUCUCUUGUAUUUGGAACGAGGACACCCGGAGGGGCUCUCUGUGUACUAGGUGACAGGCACCAGGCCACUGCGGGACAGCCACCUUCAGAUGGCCGAUGCUGGACAGCAGGGGGCCCUGUCCCACAGACAGUGUGACCCACGGACCCCACCGAGUGGCGGCAGGCGCCCUGGAGACAUGAGUCCUGGCCCUCUGAGCACACGUAACAAGCCCCACCUGUCCCUGCGGCUCACCGCAGGCCGUGCUGGAGAACGGUGAGGUCCCUGGACAGUGAGAAGGCGAGCCGGCCGAGGGGCCACACCAUGUCCCCCAGCUGUCCCCACCCGCGAGCUCCUGCAGCACGUGGCAGGAAGCCUGCGAGCAGAGGGGCUGGGGUCUUUGGAGAACGCAGUGCCUCACGUCCAGGUCUGCAGUGAACGCAGCCCCUGAGCCAGCACAGAACCGCCUAGACAGCUGGGCCGGCCCCCCAGGAGGCCCCGCAGUGGCCCAGCGAAGACUGGGCCGGACUGACGGCGGCUGCAGGGAUGCAGGCCAGGGGUGGGAACCAAGCAUGUCCAGAACCAGGCAGUUGUCUGGAUGGUAUUGAAAACCGCAGCCUGGGCCUUCCCGUCCUCAGGCAGUGUGGAGCCGUCGGAAGUUUCUUCACUGGCACGUCCCGUCAGAAAGUAAUAGGAUUUUGAGAGAUAUUAAUUUAGGUCAAGCUUGAGAAUGUCACUCCCCCGACAGGCUCUUGUUUUUUCCCUCAAAGGUUGAAGAAAGAGACAUUCUUGUAGAGAUGCAGCUUAUGGAAAACUGUAGCUAUUACCUAGCUGUCGAAACAAAAAGGAGAUUCCAUCCGCCAGGGAACACAACUUAACUGGCCGGAGAUGACCUUUAACCCCAGCCCAGCCAGACGCGGGCUCCAAGUGACCUUUGCAGCGGUGCUCUGUCGCCAGCAGAAACGAGGCCCCUGCGGGAUCUGGCAGCUCAAGGCCCUGAAAUCUGCUGUUGAUUCUCACCCCAAUUUCAGACUUUCUCUGCCGCCGUGGGCGCCAACAGCGGUGCCGACUCAGGCCUCGGUUUUCAGAGCCCCAGGCGGGGCCGGUGGUGUUGGAUUCUGUUGUGAUCUUCCUUCAUUCCUUGGCUUGUAGGUUUCCCACCAGGAGAACCCCGGAGGCCUUGCGGGAAGGUCAGAGCCCAGCUGCCUGCUGGGCACAGGCACCUGCCGGGAAGCCGGUGGCCCUGCCCUGCAGCCCCAGGAAGCCCAGGAGGUGGCUUGAGAGGGCAGGUUAAGGGGUGGCGGCUGCAGGACCACUGCCCCCAGUGCUUUGCUGUCAGACUCCAGCCUCGGGCUCCCAGCCCGGCGUCCCAGUGGGCGGAGAGGACGGAGGAUGCACCCGGCCCGGGCUGACCAGGGGCCCUGCCCCGGACAAGUGACCCAGCAUCCCGGCCCCUGGACUGCGGAGAAGGAGGAUGCGGGGCGCCGGCGGGCGGGUGGGCAGGGACGCCACAUCGGGGGACCUCCGCUGCCACCUGGUGGACAGCCCAGGAAGACGCCAGGGACGUGUGGCAGGCGCAGAGGGGCGGCCUGGGCGCGGAGAAGACACACCAAGGAGAGGCCGAGUGAGCACACAGCAAGAAGACAGCCGUCUGCAGGCUAGGAAGAUGGCCCUUGCCAGAGCCGGACCAUGCUGGCCCCCUGACGAUGGACUCAGCCUCCAGAAUUGAGACAGUAAAUUCCAGUUGUUUAAGCUGAAAAAAAAAAAAAAAAGAUGUACCUUAGUGGGUACAAUGUGGCAUCUCA